UGUCAAAAUUCUGUCAGUCCAAAUCAUGUAACCAAAACCCCGUAAAACUAAUUAUAAUGUUAACUAUAUAACUUUGUAAAUAAACUGGUCAAAAAGUCCAAAAAAUGGACUCAAAAUAGUUAUGAUGCGAAAUACCAUACAAUAGUUUCAAAAUUCCAAGUGAUUUUACAAACGCUUAGGUUACACGAAAAUAGAUGAUUGAAAUUUACAGUUAAAUAACAAGAAAAUAUACUGAAAACACGUCAAAAUGUUCAAGGAUGACGAUGAUGAUGACGAGGCCACCUUGAGUGCCACGAGGUACCCUGUCAUGCCUUCCCUGGUGGCUCUGCAGCAGAUGAGGAACCGUCUCCACCUGGCAUACCUCGGCAAGAAGCUGAUGAAAUGGACAGCUCUAGCUUCCCGCAAAGAAAUGAGGAGACUUUCCGUGAAGAUUAAUGAGUGAGUACUGAUUAAUUACGAGGUAGAAGAAGCCUUCAUUCUCUUGGCCAGAGCGAGAUAUUUUCUGCCUCAGCUCAACGGCGUGGUGCUGGAAAGUAUUCCUCGACAAGCUAGUAUCACAGUCAAAACAGCAGGCAGAAGUGUUUCAGGAGUGAAAGUUAAGAAUUUAAACUUGAUUGAGACCUUUCAAGAUCCCUAUCCGUUUUUGGGAUUAAACAAAGGCGGUAUGGUCGUUACCAAUUGCAAAACGGCUUGGUCAGAAUUGGUACGACGGAUGGUGUUGGUGCUGCAAUUGAGAACUACGUUUGACCUGGUCGAAGUAGCCCAUAAGAACGCCACCAAACGAGAAAACGUUCUCAAGAAAAUUGUCGUACCAAGAAUACAGAAGACUAACAUAUUCAUCUUAGUCGAGCUAGAGGAAUUGGCAAGAGAGGAAUUAUUUAGGAUAAAAAAGGUAAAAAAUAAUAAAAAACCUUUGAUAGAGACACCAGAAGUUGAAGGACAAACAAGGACAGGACAGACAUUAAGUAAGGUAAGAAUGCAAACGAUGGAAGACGAGGGCAUGCUGGACUAUGAGCCGACGAUCGGAGAUAGAUCAUCGCUUGAAUUCAAGUCUAUGCCGGACCUGCAAGCCACAGACCGUAAGCUGAGACCAGUCUCAGAAGAACCGAUUGAGAGAAUAUCGAAAAUAAGGAUUGUAGAAGUACCGAUGGUGGAACCAGAUAGAGAAGCAAUUCCACUUCAAGCGGCAACAAGUCAUAAGUUCUUAUUACUACCUCCAACGUCAACCCCACUACCACCACCACCACCAGAACCACCAGCAAGGCCUAAAGUUACUGCUCCAGUUCCUCCACAUCCUAUACCUAUCAUUGAAGAACAACCAAAGAAACAGUGUACAAUGUGCGGCAAACAUCUCGCAGAAGAAGAAUCAACUACAACACGUAAUAAAGACCUCGAAGAAAAGUUUAUGCUUCUGAAAAUGCAGCUUAAAGACAUAAUUACAAUGAGCAAAAGGUUCGAGGACAAAGACUUAGGAGGUUUAACGUGAAAGGAUUUAUCCAAGGAUGCGAAGAAGUGAUGAAGAUAAUCGACAAAUAUUUUGAAACAGAUGCUACAGCUAUAGAUACGUUGAAGGUUUAUAUGACUCGGCUUAGACUUCAGCUUCACAAGGUAAUAAAAUUAAGUCAAUUGACCGAAGAAGAUUCCACCCCAAGUAAAGACAAAUUGUGUACGACUUGUGCAGACUUUGACAGAAGACUGAGCGAAUGCCAGUGUUUCAAGGUACCGGCACCUAAGGAAGUACCCAGUACCAGUAUCCAAGAAUGUGAUUAUUUAACGCCAAAACCUAGAAAAAUACCAAAGUGUCAAAUACCAGAGUACAUAAUGAAACCGCGACCUCUAGCUUGCAUGACAGUAGACGUAGUUCAAACAAUGCCGAGAGAUACGCAACAAGUGUCCACUGCUCGCCUAGAUGAGUUCGAAAAACAUGUCGAUGAAGUUAUAGAUAUGACGAAAUACUACCAAAAAGAAGGAUUACUCACCCCUAGUGCUGAAGAGUUCUUAAAUUCUUGUAAAGCUGUUAAAACUAAAAUAGCUGAAUACAAAAACCAAAAGGAAAACAAACUUAAAUUAGAACGUUUGAAAGAGCAAGUCGCUAAUUUGGAACGAAUCACAAGUCUUGUACAACAAGAGGAAAUUGACACUCGAAGUAUUAAUAGCUUUUUGUCAUGUUGUAAAGAAUUUAAAGAAAAACUUGAAUAUAGUAAAUCGAGUAAAGAACCGACUACUCCUUCAAGUUUAGAGAGAAUUAUAAGCCAAAUAGACGACAGCAUUAUAUUGAGCAGAGAAGCUAAGAAAAGCGGUUUGGUGAGUGAAACUGUGGACGACUUCAUCAAAGGAUGUCAAGUAAUAAAAGCAAAGAUCGCAUCAAAUGAAGCACAACAAGUAGAGCCUAAGCCACAAGUUAUUGAUGAUCUGCUAAUAAACAUAAAUGAUAUUAUAAACUACAUAUCAAAAUAUAGAGAUGAAGGAUUGGUGUCUCAAAGUGUUGAAGAUUUCUAUAAGACUUGUCAAUUAACUAGGGCUAAACUAUUGCUUUACAAAAAGAUCCCGGGGCAGCAAAAGGUGGAAUUAUACCUCAAUAUCCAACACCAUGUCAGGGUACAUGUGAUUGCAAAGCCGGUUCUUCGAAUGAACCAUGUAAGGAUUGUGGACAAGCGAAGCCAGCUGAUCUUCCCGAAACAAAAUGCUCAAGAUUACUUGUCAAACCAUGGGUUCGGAUUACUCUCGCACAUCUUCUCGACUACCCAACAAGUUAAACCAGUUUCUAUUAAAUCAGACCCAGAUGUCUGCGGUUCAUGUAAUGUAGACAAUGUUGCGGACAGCAGCAAAUCACCAAAACAACCAGAAAACCUUGGAUACUUUGAAAAGAAAAUUAAAACAAAAACUACCGUUAAAAGGUAUAGAGAAAAGGAUGGUAAUAUAAAAGAAAAUUAUGAGAUUAUUACUGUAAAACAAAGGACUUUCGAUCCUAAGCAACAAGUACCAUCAGUAGGUUCAACUUUCAUGACUUUCUCAUACGACUCAAGCAAAAGUUCAAAGCCGAUGAAUAUUUGCGAUUUAGCUCAGACUAAAGGGUUUCUUCAAACUAUGAGAGAUUUUGGUCGGUUUAUUAAAUCAGAGACACUCAUUAGAACUGCAGACUUAUCACGUUCGACUUUGGCAUGCUCAUGUAGAUCAGAAGAUACUAUAUUUUCUAAAAAGAAAAGCGAAACAGAGACCAUUCAGUUCAGUUUCUGUGAUCCAUUUUCGUGUACCGAGACAGACCGAGACAGUACAGAGGAAAGCAAUGAUUCGAGACCCAUUUCAUAUUUGAAGCCGUACAAGUCUCAUUUAGAAGGCAAGGAAACUGAGAUUGUAGAAACUUCAGAGAAGGAAACAGGCAAAGAUGAUAUAAAGGAGAUAGAAAUUAUAAGUGAAAAACCAAGUUAUAGGUGGAAGAAAAUUACUAUAGAAGACAAAAUGGUUGCAAUGGAGAACGUAAAGACGGGACUCACUCCUUGCAGUACAGUAGCUGGCUCCAAGAUUACGUUAAGUAAAUAUGAUAAAGAAGCAGGAAAAUCGCAAUCCAGUCUGUGGCAGGCUGAAGCUCAAGCAAAAGAAGGAUCGAAAAAUCUAGUAUUACGUAGAGUGCAAAGGCAAGAGACAAACUCCUGUCAUUAUAAAGAAAGGCUUGAAAAUCUCCAGAAAAAUAUAAAUCAACUAAUAGAAAUGGCGGACGACUUGGAAGGAAGACCAUCCGUUGGCGAUAAUCCAUUACUAGCAUCGCUAGAAGUAAGCGAAAGAAUACUAGUAGACAGACCUAUGGCACAAUCAGCAACAGGACCAGAAGCACACGCACAAAUUUCGACUAGCGCUGGCGCGCAGGAAAAUAGUGACAACUUCAAAAACAGCAGCAGUGGUUACAGCAGUCAAGCAGGUCCCAGUUUUGAAAAUAAAUAUGCUGUAGACCCUGGCAUCUGUAGUAGCUGUAGCAAGCGCAUCUCUACUCCAUAUGAUGAAAUAUUACCAUGGCAAGAUGUAUCUGUCCCAGAAACUCCGCAGGAUCAUCAGCACAUGAUAGUCAAAAUUCACGAAAAAGUUCUACGCCACAGCGUAUUCUCUGGGUGUAGGGCUGCAUGCUCUUUAUUAGCGAAAAGUAUUAGAGGAAAGUGUACGUCCCCAAAACCGGCUGAAGUGUGUUGUCCUAAACCUAAACCGUCUUUGCCGAAGCAAGUAUCUGCACCAAGACCAGCCAAGCCUAAACGGAAAAAUGCUUCUACUUGUACAAGAGCAUCGGACAGAUAUGACUGCAGAACUCUGAGGUCAUUAAAGAGGGUUCAUCCUUGUGCAAAGAUCAGAAGGCAGGUCUGCACGUGUCAUUCAGACACUCAUUUGCUCAUUCAAGACGAGCCAUAUUGUUUAGUAACUAGAGCUACGUCUUGUAGCGGAGCGCACUACUAUUGUUUUCAUUGAAACAGUCAGAAUUUAUGAAACGUUUAUGUACUUUGUCAUUUCAAACAUUUUCAGUAAUUUUCAUGUUGAUGCGUUAGGGUGAUCAAAAGAUUUUAUGAUGAUCACAAUUUUUUACCAUGUGGCAAAAUAAA
rnacentral:sRNA from 1 species